rnacentral:rRNA from 1 species
GAAAUUGACCCUUCCGUGAAGAUGCGGAAUUCUCUGGAGCCAGACGGAAAGACCCCAUGCACCUUGACUAUACGUUCUGUAUACGAGUGCAAAUUAGUUGUGUAGGCUAAGUGGAAGCGAAAGAAUGACUGUGCCAGCAGGAAUUUAUGCGAAAGGUGAAAGACCACUCUACUAUCCUUGUAACGUGAGGGAAUUUUUUGGAAAGAAGAGUGCCUGACAAUGCAGGCGAGGUAGUUUGACUGGGGCGGUCGCCUUCCAGACAGCAACGAGGGUUUACAAAAGUACCUUCAUACCUAGGGGGCUAGGUUUACGAGCGCAAUGGUAGAACUUUACUUGACAGCUAGACUUUGCAGUCGCACUGGGACGAGAGUCGGUCAUAGUGACCCGGUGUUUUUUUCGAGCCAAAGCAUCGCUCAAAAGAUAAAAGGUACGCUGGGGAUAACAGGCUUACCACUCUUUAGAGUUCCUAUCGAUGGAGUGAUCUGGC